ACGUUGGAGUUACGGACUAAUCGUGAAUGGACGGUGUUUUGGUUCAAUUGUUUUUUUGAGAUGUGCUGUUCUCAUGGAGCCCUAGUAUUCAGGACUGAGGAAUAUGAAGCGGUUAUGUCCUUUAAUCAUUUUAAAUUUUAUGAUUAUAGAAGCAAUUCACGCUAUUCAAGUUCAGAAUAAAUCACUAUCAAGUGAUGAUAGCUUCAUCGACAUGAUAGACAUCGCUGAAUCUCAAGACUAUUUCAACAGGAAUUACA